rnacentral:rRNA from 1 species
UACAGAGGGGGCAAGCGUUGUUCGGAAUUACUGGGCGUAAAGGGCGCGUAGGCGGCCCGCUAAGUCGAACGUGAAAUCCAGGCUCAACCUGGGAACUGCGUCCGAUACGGGACGGCUGGAGACCGGGAGAGGAGAGUGGAAUAGCCAGUGUAGAGGUGAAAUUCGUAGAUAUUGGCUGGAACACCAGUGGCGAAAGCGGCUCUCUGGCCCGGUUCUGACGCUGAGGCGCGAAAGCGUGGGGAGCAAACAGG